rnacentral:rRNA from 1 species
AUUGAACGCUGGCGGCAUGCUUUACACAUGCAAGUCGAACGGUAACAGGCCGCAAGGUGCUGACGAGUGGCGAACGGGUGAGUAAUGCAUCGGAACGUGCCCAGUCGUGGGGGACAACGCAGCGAAAGCUGCGCUAAUACCGCAUACGAGCUAUGGAUGAAAGCGGGGGACCGUAAGGCCUCGCGCGAUUGGAGCGGCCGAUGUCAGAUUAGGUAGUUGGUGGGGUAAUGGCUCACCAAGCCAACGAUCUGUAGCUGGUCUGAGAGGAGGACCAGGCACACGGGGACUGAGACACGGUCCAGACUCCUACGGGAGGCAGCAGUGGGGAAUUUUGGACAAUGGGCGCAAGCCUGAUCCAGCCAUGCCGCGUGUCUGAAGAAGGCCUUCGGGUUGUAAAGGACUUUUGUCCGGGAGCAAAUGCCUGGUGUUAAUAGCACUGGGAGCUGAGAGUACCGGAAGAAUAAGCACCGGCUAACUACGUGCCAGCCGCCGCGGUAAGAC